CCUACGGGUGGCAGCAGUGAGGAAUAUUGGUCAAUGGACGAGAGUCUGAACCAGCCAAGUAGCGUGAAUGAUGACUGCCCUAUGGGUUUUAAACUUCUUUUAUCUGGGAAUAAAUCAGGGUAUGCAUACCCUCUUGUAUUUACCUUAUGAAUAAGGAUCGGCUCACCCCGUGCCCUCAGCCGCGGUAAUACGGAGGGUCUGAGCGUUAUCCGGAUUUAUUGGGUUUAAAGGGAACGUAGGUGGAUGGUUAAGUCAGUUGUGAAAGUUUGCGGCGCAACCGUAAAAUUGCAGUUGAAACUGGCAGGCUUGAGUACAGUAGAGGGGGGCAGAAUUCGUGGUGUAGCGGUGAAAUGCGUAGAUAUGACGAAGAAUACCGAUUGCGAAGGCGGCUCACUGGAC
rnacentral:rRNA from 1 species